rnacentral:rRNA from 1 species
UGACUGGGGCGGUCUCCUCCUAAAGAGUAACGGAGGAGCACGAAGGUUGGCUAAUCCUGGUCGGACAUCAGGAGGUUAGUGCAAUGGCAUAAGCCAGCUUGACUGCGAGCGUGACGGCGCGAGCAGGUGCGAAAGCAGGUCAUAGUGAUCCGGUGGUUCUGAAUGGAAGGGCCAUCGCUCAACGGAUAAAAGGUACUCCGGGGAUAACAGGCUGAUACCGCCCAAGAGUUCAUAUCGACGGCGGUGUUUGGCACCUCGAUGUCGGCUCAUCACAUCCUGGGGCUGAAGUAGGUCCCAAGGGUAUGGCUGUUCGCCAUUUAAAGUGGUACGCGAGCUGGGUUUAGAACGUCGUGAGACAGUUCGGUCCCUAUCUGCCGUGGGCGCUGGAGAACUGAGGGGGGCUGCUCCUAGUACGAGAGGACCGGAGUGGACGCAUCACUGGUGUUCGGGUUGUCAUGCCAAUGGCACUGCCCGGUAGCUAAAUGCGGAAGAGAUAAGUGCUGAAAGCAUCUAAGCACGAAACUUGCCCCGAGAUGAGUUCUCCCUGACUCCUUGAGAGUCCUGAAGGAACGUUGAAGACGACGACGUUGAUAGGCCGGGUGUGUAAGCGCAGCGAUGCGUUGAGCUAACCGGUACUAAUGAACCGUGAGGCUUAACCUUACAACGCCGAAGCUGUU